GCAGCAUCUCGUUAGGCGAGGCUCCUGCACGAAUACAGGCCACUGACCUCACGACGUCGAGAGACGCCCAAGGUCAGGACAGAUCUUCCCGGAUUAAGGGGUGAUCCCAAGUGGCUUCCCGCGAGGGACACGUCGUGCAGUGUCGAAGCUUUUACGUGGAGAUGCACC
rnacentral:sRNA from 1 species